UACGUAGGGUGCGAGCGUUAAUCGGAAUUAUUGGGAGUAAAGAGUGCGUAGGCGGUGGUGUAAGAAAGAUGUGAAAUCCCCGGGCUUAACCUGGGAACUGCAUUGGUGACUGCAGCGCUGGAGUAUGGCAGAGGGGGGUGGAAUUCCACGUGUAGCAGUGAAAUGCGUAGAGAUGUGGAGGAACACCGAUGGCGAAGGCAGCCCCCUGGGCCAAUACUGACGCUCAUGCACGAAAGCGUGGGGAGCAAACAGG
rnacentral:rRNA from 1 species